CGGACGGGUGAGUAAUGUAUGGGGAUCUGCCUGAUGGCGGGGGAUAACUACUGGAAACGGUAGCUAAUACCGCAUAACGUCGCAAGACCAAAGAGGGGGACCUUCGGGCCUCUUGCCAUCGGAUGUGCCCAGAUGGGAUUAGCUAGUAGGUGGGGUAACGGCUCACCUAGGCGACGAUGCAUAGCCGACCUGAGAGGGUGAUCGGCCACACUGGGACUGAGACACGGCCCAG
rnacentral:rRNA from 1 species